rnacentral:rRNA from 1 species
CCUACGGGAGGCAGCAGUGGGGGAUAUUGCACAAUGGGGGGAACCCUGAUGCAGCGACGCCGCGUGGGUGAAGAAGCGCCUCGGCGCGUAAAGCCCUGUCAGCAGGGGAGAAAAUGACGGUACCUGAAGAAGAAGCCCCGGCGAACUAGGUGCCAGCAGCCGCGGUAAUACGGAGGGGGCAAGCGUUAUCCGGAUUUACUGGGUGUAAAGGGGGCGCAGACGGGGAUGCAGGCCAGGAGUGAAAGCCCGGGGCUCAACCCUGGGACUGCUCUUGGAACUGCGUGGCUGGAGUACAGGAGAGGCAGGCGGAAUUCCUGGUGUAGCGGUGAAAUGCGUAGAUAUCAGGAGGAACACCGGUGGCGAAGGCGGCCUGCUGGACUGCAACUGACGUUGAGGCCCGAAAGCGUGGGGAGCAAACAGGAUUAGAUACCCCGGUAGUC